UACGAAGGGUGCAAACGUUGCUCGGAAUUAUUGGGCGUAAAGCGCACGUAGGCGGCAUUGCAAGUCCCAUGUGAAAGCCCACGGCUUAACCGUGGAAGUGCAUGGGAAACUGCAGUGCUUGAGUACUUAAGAGGAUCGCGGAAUUCCCGGUGUAGAGGUGAAAUUCGUAGAUAUCGGGAGGAACACCAAUUGCGAAGGCAGCUGGCUACACGAAUAUUGACACUGAUGCACGAAAGCGUGGGGAUCAAACAGG
rnacentral:rRNA from 1 species